UAAUGAAUUUGUAAAGGGGGAGUUGCGCUAACAACGCCCCUUAUGACAGCACCGCUUAAAGAACGGUGACAAGAGAUAUUAACUAAAAA
rnacentral:sRNA from 1 species